rnacentral:rRNA from 1 species
GGCGCAGGCGGCCUGGCAAGUGGAAAGUGGAAUCCCGGAGCUCAACUUCGGACGUGCUUUCCAAACUGCCUGGCUUGAGUCCGGGAGAGGAAGAUGGAAUUCCAGGUGUAGCGGUGAAAUGCGUAGAUAUCUGGAGGAACACCAAUGGCGAAAGCAAUCUUCUGGCCCGGUACUGACGCUCAGGCCCGAAAGCGUGGGGAGCGAACA